rnacentral:rRNA from 1 species
UACAGAGGUCUCAAGCGUUGUUCGGAUUCAUUGGGCGUAAAGGGUGCGUAGGCGGCGCGGUAAGUCGGGUGUGAAAUCUCGGAGCUUAACUCCGAAACUGCAUUCGAUACUGCGGUGCUUGAGGACUGGAGAGGAGACUGGAAUUUACGGUGUAGCAGUGAAAUGCGUAGAGAUCGUAAGGAAGACCAGUGGCGAAGGCGGGUCUCUGGACAGUUCCUACACUGAGGCACGAAGGCCAGGGGAGCAAACGGG